CAGUAGCCACGGUAAUACGUAGGGUGCAAGCGUUAUCCGGAAUUAUUGGGCGUAAAGAGCUCGUAGGCGGUUUGUCGCGUCUGCUGUGAAAACUGGAGGCUCAACCUCCAGCCUGCAGUGGGUACGGGCAGACUAGAGUGCGGUAGGGGAGAUUGGAAUUCCUGGUGUAGCGGUGGAAUGCGCAGAUAUCAGGAGGAACACCGAUGGCGAAGGCAGAUCUCUGGGCCGUAACUGACGCUGAGGAGCGAAAGCAUGGGGAGCGAACAGGAUUAGAUACCCCAGUAGUCCCUGUCUCUUAUAC
rnacentral:rRNA from 1 species